CCUUAGAGUUUGAUCCCUGGCUCAGAUUGAACGCUGGCGGCAUGCCUUACACAUGCAAGUCGAACGGCAGCGCGGGAGCAAUCCUGGCGGCGAGUGGCGAACGGGUGAGUAAUACAUCGGAACGUGCCCAAUCGUGGGGGAUAACGCAGCGAAAGCUGUGCUAAUACCGCAUACGAUCUACGGAUGAAAGCAGGGGAUCGCAAGACCUUGCGCGAAUGGAGCGGCCGAUGGCAGAUUAGGUAGUUGGUGAGGUAAAGGCUCACCAAGCCUUCGAUCUGUAGCUGGUCUGAGAGGACGACCAGCCACACUGGGACUGAGACACGGCCCAGACUCCUACGGGAGGCAGCAGUGGGGAAUUUUGGACAAUGGGCGCAAGCCUGAUCCAGCCAUGCCGCGUGCAGGAUGAAGGCCUUCGGGUUGUAAACUGCUUUUGUACGGAACGAAACGGCCUUUUCUAAUAAAGAGGGCUAAUGACGGUCC
rnacentral:rRNA from 1 species